rnacentral:rRNA from 1 species
UACGUAGGGUGCGAGCGUUGUCCGGAAUUAUUGGGCGUAAAGAGCUCGUAGGCGGUGUGUCACGUCGGCCGUGAAAACCUGGGGCUUAACUCCGGGUCUGCAUUCGAUACGGGCAGGCUAGAGUUCGGUAGGGGAGAUCGGAAUUCCUGGUGUAGCGGUGAAAUGCGCAGAUAUCAGGAGGAACACCGGUGGCGAAGGCGGAUCUCUGGGCCGAUACUGACGCUGAGGAGCGAAAGCGUGGGGAGCGAACAGG